rnacentral:misc_RNA from 1 species
GAUGAAGAACGUAGCGAAAUGCGAUAAGUAGUGUGAAUUGCAGAAUUCAGUGAAUCAUCGAAUCUUUGAACGCACAUUGCGCCCUUUGGUAUUCCAAAGGGCAUGCCUGUUCGAGCGUCAUUUGUACCCUCAAGCUUUGCUUGGUGUUGGGCGUCUUGUCUCUAGCUUUGCUGGAGACUCGCCUUAAAGUAAUUGGCAGCCGGCCUACUGGUUUCGGAGCGCAGCACAAGUCGCACUCUCUAUCAGCAAAGGUCUAGCAUCCAUUAAGCCUUUUUUUCAACUUUUGGCCUCGGAUCAGGUAGGGAUACCCGCUGAACUUAAGCAUAUCAAUAAGCGGAGGA